rnacentral:rRNA from 1 species
AUUGAACGCUGGCGGCAGGCUUAACACAUGCAAGUCGAGCGGAGCGAGGGUGCUUGCACCUUAGCUUAGCGGCGGACGGGUGAGUAAUGCUUAGAAAUCUGCCUAUUAGUGGGGGACAACAUUCCGAAAGGGAUGCUAAUACCGCAUACGCCCUACGGGGGAAAGCAGGGGAUCUUCGGACCUUGCGCUAAUAGAUGAGCCUAAGUCGGAUUCGCUAGUUGGUGGGGUAAAGGCCUACCAAGGCGACGAUCUGUAGCGGGUCUGAGAGGAUGAUCCGCCACACCGGGACUGAGAGCAGGCGCAGACUCCUACGGGAGGCAGAAGUGUGUAAUAUGGGAAAAUGGGCGGAAGUCUGAUCCAGCCAUGCGGCGUGUGUGAAGAAGGCCUUUUGGUUGUAAAGCACUUUAAGCGAGGAGGAGGCUACUAGUAUUAAUACUACUGGAUAGUGGACGUUACUCGCAGAAUAAGCACCGGCUAACUCUGUGCCAGCCGCCGCAGUAA